rnacentral:rRNA from 1 species
GGGUUGGGGUGACCUCGGAGAAUAAAACAACCUCCGAGUGAUUUUAAAUCUAGACUUACCAGUCAAAAGUACUACAUCAUUUAUUGAUCCAGAACAUUCGAUCAACGGAACAAGUUACCCUAGGGAUAACAGCGC